GACGAACGCUGGCGGCGUGCCUAAUACAUGCAAGUUGAGCGAUGAAGCUUGGUGCUUGCACCAAUUUGAAGAGCAGCGAACGGGUGAGUAACGCGUGGGGAAUCUGCCUUUGAGCGGGGGACAACAUUUGGAAACGAAUGCUAAUACCGCAUAACAACUUUAAACAUAAGUUUUAAGUUUGAAAGAUGCAAUUGCAUCACUCAAAGAUGAUCCCGCGUUGUAUUAGCUAGUUGGUGAGGUAAAGGCUCACCAAGGCGAUGAUACAUAGCCGACCUGGGAGGGUGAUCGGCCACAGUGGGACUGAGACACGGCCCAAACUCCUACGGGAGGCAGCAGUAGGGAAUCUUCGGCAAUGGACGAAAGUCUGACCGAGCAACGCCGCGUGAGUGAAGAAGGUUUUCGGAUCGUAAAACUCUGUUGGUAGAGAAGAACGUUGGUGAGAGUGGAAAGCUCAUCAAGUGACGGUAACUACCCAGAAAGGGACGGCUAACUACGUG
rnacentral:rRNA from 1 species